AUCCCCAAAACCUCACUUCUCAACUCUAAACCCUAAAACCUAAACUUUAAACCCUAAACCCUAAAUUCUAAAUCCUAAACCCCACCCCUUGAGUGCUAUUUUUGUGACUUUUGGCCUUGAGUGCUAGUUUGGGAACAAAAACUUGAGUUAGUGCUAUUUUGGUAUUUUUCUCAUAUUAAAAUGUAAAACUAUAUUUAAUGCCACGUGUCAUCUUUCGGGAGAAAUUUUUUCCGCUGAUGUGGACACCCUAUGGAGCCUCAAAAGCUUCCUUUUAUUAGUAGAGAUUCUGUUGGAUAAUUCCAAGCUUGUGGAAACUUAACAUUUUAUUAGAUGUUU
rnacentral:lncRNA from 1 species